AUUACGGGAGGCAGCAGUAGGGAAUCUUCCACAAUGGACGAAAGUCUGAUGGAGCAAUGCCGCGUGAGUGAAGAAGGUUUUCGGAUCGUAAAACUCUGUUGUUGAAGAAGAACAUAUGUGAGAGUAACUGUUCACGUACUGACGGUAUUCAACCAGAAAGCCACGGCUAACUACGUGCCAGCAGCCGCGGUAAUAAU
rnacentral:rRNA from 1 species